GGGCACUUAGCUCAGCGGUAGAGCGCUUCGUUUACAUCGAAGAAGUCGUAGGUCCAAAUCCUACAGUGCCCA
rnacentral:tRNA from 1 species